CGCUAAGAAUCUUGCAUCAGAAUUAAAAAUAUAUUUUAAAAAAAUAUUACAAUUUAUAAAAAGUUAAUAUCACACCGCAGAUGUUAAGUGUUGCCCUAAAUGAAAAUUACGGUUUGUGCUACAUUCGAUUAGAUCACACAAUAUCUUUGAAAAUUUGCUUAAGAGACUGCUUGUACAUUAAUUUUGUAAUCGUUUUAGAAACAAUUAUAAUAGGCGACCGUUAUACCGUUAGCGUUAUUGUUGAUUUAAAUGUUAUACAAUAAAAAUAAAAGACUUGUAAGUGUUUCGAAGGAAAUGGGAUUUCAAGGUAUAAGAGCUCAAUAUUUUUAUAACUUAUUAUUCUAGUGUUAUUUACAGCGUGGGCGAAUUAAAGUUAGAAUGAAAACUUGUUUUAUUUAUUAGUUAAACUAUAAACUUGCAUUAUUUCUGCAUUUUCUUCUUUUGGAAACAAACUAUUAUUAUUCCAAUGCUUUCCGAUUUUUAAUUUGCAACUUAGGUGUUCUCUAUGUGCUCUCCAUUAACACGAAGUUUCACUGCGUAAGGUUGGAACGAUUUUUUUGUUAAACUCGGUAAACCUCAUUUAAGUAGCCUACACGGUUGGGUACACAUUUUACGGAGAGAUCUUAAAUUGAAAGCGUCCAAAAUCAAGCUUGUGCAAGAACUGAAGGCGCUGGAACUUCACAAGCGAAAUCGCUUCGCUCUAUGGGCUCUUAAAAAUUUCCAAGAAGAUCCGACGUUUUCGUUCCAACGUUUGUUCAGCCAUGAUGCCCAUUUCUAGCUCAAUGGAUAUGCAAACAAGCAAAUCUGCCGAAGAGCAGAGAUUAAAGAGCUGCCAUUUCAUCCAGAAAAAUCAACGGUUUCGUGUGGUUUGUGGGCCCGGUGAAAUCAUUCGUCCAUAUUUCUUCAAAAAUGACCGUUAUCGCAUCACUUCCCACUCAUCUUAUCAAUCAAUGGAUUUAUUGAUAGAACACUUUGUGUCAUUAAGACAAAGAACCACUCGAAGUAAUGAAAAUACUGCUGCAAUUGAAGCAAAUGUUGCUGAUGACUGCAAUUUGUCGAUUCCAAGACGUUCUCAAGAAUCGGAACUGUCUCAAAUCCUGACGGAUUUUGAGAAAGAAUUUGGGCUUGCA